AUUUGCGAAUUUGUAUAGUCUUUGGCUAGAAUUGGGACAGCGUGUAUUCAAAGGUCCAAAGGAUUAUUCAAUUAUGGAGCCUUCCACAUCUCAGAUGCGUUCGGCUUUGGAACAUUCAAUGAGCCGUCGAGAGCUUUUCAAGCAAAAGGCUUAGAAAGAUUUGGAGCUUAUUUUAGGUAGCGUGAAAAAUUGUUCGAUGGCCGAAAUUUUGAGCGAAUUUGUUACGUAUGUUGGGUACACUAGACCGUCUAUUAGCAGAACAAUAGUAAAAUUAAUAAUUUCGUUUGUAACGGGGUUUUAUUUAUAGCUUGGGUUUCGCUCAGGUCGGUCCAGCGGUCCGUUCCAAGAAAAUUUGUUCGCUGAACAUACUUCGGUGUUAGAUCAAAAAUAUAUAUUUAUGGAAUCCAAGAAGCAUACAAGAUGGUGACGCAACGUUAUUUAUUUUUAUUUAUAUUUACACAACAAAUCUUUUAAUCGGAGCCGGUAACGAUGUCUGCUUCCUUACACGUUUCGUGUUGAAACUUCCACUCAUGAAGAAGAUAUUUGGAGAUCGUCCGAAGCUUUCGUUGCUUUAAUGGAUAUGUUUUCCCAUAAUGAUUGGCGUGAAAUUAUAAUGUAAACGGACUUAGCUAAAGAAGUUCAGAAACUGGAGAAGACGUUUAGGAGUAAAGCUCGUUCGGCCUACCUAGCUCCACA